rnacentral:rRNA from 1 species
GGGGGGGGGGGGGGGGGGGGUGGGGGCGUGGGGGUCGGGCGGGGGGGCCCGGCUUUGGGGGGGGGCUCGGGUGGCGGACGGGUGCGUGCCACGUGGGUAGCCUGCCCUUGGCUUUGGGGUGACUUCAGGCACCUGGGGCUAAUACCGGCUGUGAGCUCCUGCUGCCUGUUGGGGGUUGGCAAGUUUCGGCGGUUUGGAGUGGACCCGCGCCGUAUUAGCUUGUUGGUUAGGUAACGGCUUACCAAGGCUUUGAUGCGUAGCCGACCUGAGAGGGUGAUCGGCCACACUGGAACUGAGACACGGUCCAGACUCCUACGGGAGGCAGCAGUAGGGAAUCUUCCGCAAUGGGCGAAAGCCUGACGGAGCAACGCCGCGUGAGUGAUGAAGGUCUUCGGAUCGUAAAACUCUGUUAUUAGGGAAGAACAAAUGUGUAAGUAACUAUGCACGUCUUGACGGUACCUAAUCAGAAAGCCACGGCUAACUACGUG